GCCUGGGUGGCUCAGUUGGUAGAGCACUUGCCCCCAAGAGACAAAUGUCCCGAGUUCGAGUCUCGGUCCGGCACGCA